rnacentral:lncRNA from 1 species
AUUCAGGAGCUAAAUUUUAAAUUGAACUUAAUUUCAAUUCAUUCCAGUUCAAAGAGCAACACUGGAUACUGCCAACCAUAUUGGGAGACAGAGCUAUACAAUGGAAGCAAUGAUGUCUGCCUUGAUUUCCUUCUAUAACUGGAACCCGAUUUUCCCUACCACCAUUGAUGGUAAGAACACAAUUCAGAUGAGAACCUUGAGACUAUUUGGAUGAGAAGGCUUCAGACUGUGUUCCAUCAAGGUGUUUCAGGACUACCCUGGCAGUGUGAAGGAGACUAUAAGCAGGGCAAGUGUUUAAGGUUGACUAUCUUGGGGUACACUUUCUGCCCUAGUAAGAAGAUCUUCAGAGAGACCACCUAGAUAAAUUUAAUAUUUGACUCUCUGGUAUUUUAAAGACACUGUCGAUAUUGA